CCUACGGGGGACUGCAGUGAGGAAUAUUGGUCAAUGGACGAGAGUCUGAACCAGCCAAGUAGCGUGAAGGAUGACUGCCCUAUGGGUUGUAAACUUCUUUUAUAUGGGAAUAAAAUGUUCCACGUGUGGGAUUUUGUAUGUACCAUAUGAAUAAGGAUCGGCUAACUCCGUGCCAGCAGCCGCGGUAAUACGGAUGAUCCGAGCGUUAUCCGGAUUUAUUGGGUUUAAAGGGAGCGUAGGUGGAGUGUUAAGUCAGUUGUGAAAGUUUGCGGCUCAACCGUAAAAUUGCAGUUGAAACUGGCAGUCUUGAGUACAGUAGAGGUGGGCGGAAUUCGUGGUGUAGCGGUGAAAUGCUUAGAUAUCACGAAGAACUCCGAUUGCGAAGGCAGUUCACUGGACUGCAACUGACACUGAGGCUCGAAAGUGUGGGUAUCAAACAGGAUUAGAUACCCGAGUAGUC
rnacentral:rRNA from 1 species